UGCGGGCCGGGAUGGCGCUGCCCACCCCUCGCUACGAGCACCUGGGCCCCGGGGGGCCCUUUCGGGACGUGUACGAGCCGGCCGAGGACACCUUCCUGCUGCUCGAUGCGCUGGAGCGGGACGCGGGCAGCCUGCGGGAGGCUCGAGUCGAGAUCUGCCUUGAAAUAGGAUCUGGAUCUGGUGUGGUUUCAACAUUUCUGGCUUCUUCCAUCCUUGGACCCAGUGCACUGUACAUAUGCACAGAUAUCAACCCCAUGGCAGCUUACUGUACCCAGGAGACAGCUCUCCUUAACAAUGUCCACCUGCAGCCUGUCAUCACUGACUUGGUCAAAGGAUUAUCCCCAAGAUUAAAUGGGAAGGUUGAUCUACUGCUGUUUAACCCACCAUAUGUGGUAACACCUUCUGAAGAGGUGAAAAGCUGUGGAAUAGAGGCAUCCUGGGCUGGGGGCAAACAGGGCAGAGAAGUAAUGGAUAGAGUUUUCCCACUAGUACCAGACCUGCUUUCACCAGGAGGAUUAUUCUACUUGGUCACAAUUAAAGAAAACAAUCCAGAUGAAAUUUUGGAAACAAUGAAGAAAAGUGGCUUAAAAGGCACACAAGUACUUUCCAGGCAAGCAGGACAAGAGAUGCUGACAAUCCUCAGAUUCAGGAAAUCUUGAUAACUUCUCUUCACCUGCCAGGAUCAGCGUUCUCAGCACGGAUCACUUUGGCCUUGAUUAAGGACCAGUCUUCCAUGUCCCUCUGACCUUCAGAGAUGAAGAAAGAGCCUGGUUAAAAUACAGAGAUGCUCAGAGUUCAGCACAAAAGCAUUUGGAGGAAGUUUGGAUCAGUGCACAGAUGGAAAUACAGUGGCACUUUAUACAGUGCAAAAUGUGAAGGCAGAGCUAGGAGUUGUUUCACUUGUUCUCACACAGCUGUCAGAUACUUUUAAUACUCAGGGUACUGAACUUCUCAUCUCUUCCAACAUGUGAGGAUGUUCCAGCAGCAGAUAAGGAGGAUUGUCCAAUUCUUCAGUCCCUUGUAAUGAGCACAACAGUUCUGCAGCUCAUUCAACACCUUCCCCAAGCUUCAGAGAUGGCUUCUCAAGGAAUGAUGGAAAAUUUUAUUUUAGUAACUGAAACCACAGAGCGAGACACAGCGUUCUGAGAGUGGGCUCCAGGAAGUCUGCUGAAAAUUACCUUUUAACACUGCAUGAAGGAGGUUUUAGUGCCUUAAAGGAGCAGCAAUAUUCCAGUGUCCCAUCAGCUCCGUGCCUGUCACUGGUGAUCACAGAGCUCGGGAUUUACUGCUGCACCAGCCAAGAAGCCCUUCCUGAAAAGAUCUGAGGCCUUGGGUAGCUGCAAGAUCCUGUACCUACAAAUGGUUUACUGCAGUGUCAAAAUGCACAACAAUUAUUCCACCUGGUAUUCACUUGGAGCAGAAGGCAUCAUUAGGGAAUUUCUGUCACCAUGAAGAAAAUCAGGAAUUGACAGGAAGCAAGAGGUUUUGUAUAACCAGUCCUGAAACAGAAUUCAGUGUCAUUGCACAGGUAAAUCAAACAAAUGCUUCAAUAUCUGAUGUCACCUUAGGCUACAGCAGCAGCAGCUCCUUCAAUUUUCCUGUCCCCAUCCAUUUCUUGUGUCUUAUAUUACACCACUCUGUGUGAACCACCACGUUCUUAAUCCACUUGAUUAGGGUAAAGUAAGAGAUUAUGCAUAAAUUCUAUAAAAAAGGAAUACCUUUAUUUUUUUUUAAAGAGACUGUUUUUUCAUUACCAAGCGAAAACUUUACAAUGUAAAGUAUUUCUCUUCAGUAUUGUUUUAAUAUAAAAACUUAAAUCACUUACUCUGGUCUUACUGUUCCUACAGGGAGUCUUGUGGCACUGCAGGACCCAGGUAUCUUCAGCCUCACUCUAGUAUCUAAUCAUAAGUUCAUGACUUAUUUUUUUAAAUAAAACCAUUUCUGUGGCCACUCACCAUCAACAAAACAUCCCUACCACCAAAACAAAAAUAAAGCAUCUUCAUCAGACCAAAAGAGACUAAACUCUUAACAGCACUAUUACAGUGAGAAACUUUGUUAAAAUAAAAAUAUUUUGAAAGUUAGACACGACUUUAAAAUUGUACAAAGACAACAAGCACUCAAAUUACACAGAGUAAGUAGCAGUGAGUACAAUGUGAAUGCAACAACAGUGAGACUUGCCUCUUUUUAUAUGCAAUAUAAGUAGAGAUUCCUUGCCAAACUUCCAGCUUUUUUUUAUCCUUUUUCCUGAAAAGCAGCUCAUUGUGCUGCAAAACCUAACAGGGAGCAUCUCACUCUUCAGUUCAACAGAAUUGCUAAAAGGGGCUCUGGCUAAAACCAGUCUUUCUAUCAUGAGAAUAUCCCAUACAGUGCAGAACAAGUUUCUUUCUCCACUGGAAAUCAAUUCCUUUUAUUAUGCUGAAUGCUUCACAUUCCCAUGGGAUCUGUCAAAUUACAGGCUUCAAAAUGAUUAAAAAUUCUGAAGCUUGCUCCUGUUUUUUCAAGAACAUGCUAGCUGAUACUAUCAUGCUGUGUCCAUGUAAGGAGUCACACAACAGAGACUGGUCGUGUUUGUAUUUUACUCUGUGCAAGUGUUGUUUCAGGAAAAACACUUGGGACUAAUUUUAGAUAAUUUGGCUCAAUUAGUUUAAGUAUUGGUCAGAGAAGAAAAUAUUUAUUUAAUUUUUUUCUAUUACAUUUAGAGCUCAAAUAUAU